rnacentral:lncRNA from 1 species
GAACUUAGAACUGAGUCUGCUCCUUCUGACAAACAUCUCCCCAUUUCCCUGUCCCUUGCUUGUUUGUAACAGAGUCUCACACCAGAGCCUUGUGGGACCCUGCAUCUGCUCCUAUUCUAGAGAACAGAAAUGGGCAGGGCUCAGGGACAGGAACACUUAAGGGACACGUAAAGGAAAAGACAAAGAUCUGCUUGUCUUCCUCAGUGACUGAGAUCACGGGAACUGGAGGUUCCCAGAGGACACAAUUUACAAACUGGGAAAGGAUGCUGCUGCCUGGCUAGUCCCAAAUUUAUAGUGCUUCGGACAAUGAUGCCAUGUGCUAUGUUCUAUAGAAGAAAUCUGUGGAUUCAUUUAAAGAAGCUGCUGGCUCCAUCCUGUGCUUCAUGGUUCGUUCCGUGAUACUUUCUUCCUGACCAUCUCUUCCGUCAGCUGUGUUAAGCCUUCCAGAUGCUUCCAGUGCCCAAGCUAUGGCACUGCAGUCCCUGCAGGACUCCGACCUCGAAAAGCAGCAAAGGGUUUCCCUCUUUUACAAAUCCAGAAACACAUUCAUUAAUCUUCCCUAAGAGCCUCAGUGUGGAAAAGCUUUACUCCAAAUUGCAACAGCCUUAUUAUCUUCAAAAAAAAAAAAAUCUAGUAAUAAAUGUAGUAUCAAAAAUAGAAGCACAAAGCUCCCAGUCUCAGUUUCAGAACAGACACCACAAGCAUUUUAGUGUAUGCUCUUACAGAAUAUGCAUUCGUGUGUAUGAAACAGAGCGGUUUGUACAUCAACAGCCAACAUGCCAGGGAUGUU